CAAGUCGAGGGGCAGCAUUUUAGUUUGCUUGCAAACUAAAGAUGGCGACCGGCGCACGGGUGAGUAACACGUAUCCAACCUGCCGAUAACUCGGGGAUAGCCUUUCGAAAGAAAGAUUAAUACCGGAUGGCAUAAUUAUUCCGCAUGGGAUAAUUAUUAAAGAAUUUCGGUUGUCGAUGGGGAUGCGUUCCAUUAGGCAGUUGGCGGGGUAACGGCUCACCAAGCCUUCGAUGGAUAGGGGUUCUGAGAGGAAGGUCCCCCACAUUGGAACUGAGACACGGACCAAACUCC
rnacentral:rRNA from 1 species